ensembl:lncRNA
CUAGUGGAGAGGUUGAGCGAGGGAGAGAGGGCUAGUGGAGAGGUUGAGUGAGGGAGAGAGAGGGCUAGUGGAGAGGUUGAGCGUGGGAGAGAGGGCUAGUGGAGAGGUUGAGCGAGGGAGAGAGAGAGGGCUAGUGGAGAGGUUGAGCGAGGGAGAGAGAGAGGGCUAGUGGAGAGGUUGAGAGAGGGCAAGUGGAGAGGUUGAGAGAGGGCUAGUGGAGAGGUUGAGCGAGGGAAAGGGAGAGGGCUAGUGGAGAGGUUGAGCGAGGGAAAGGGAGAGGGCUAGUGGAGAGGUUGAGCGAGGGGAAAGGGGAGAGGGCUAGUGGAGAGGUUGAGCGAGGGAAAGGGAGAGGGCUAUUGGAGAGGUUGAGCGAAGGAGAGAGAGGGCUAGUGGAGAGGUUGAGCGUGGGAGAGAGGGGGCUAUUGGAGAGGUUGAGCGUGGGGAGAGGGGGCUAGUGGAGAGGUUGAGCGUGGGAGAGAGGGCUAGUGGAGAGGUUGAACGACGGAGAGAGGGCUAGUGGAGAGGUUGAGCGAGAGAGAGGG